UUCUACUUUCUAUUUUGUUUUCUAUUUAUAGUUUUGUUUUCUAGCUGAUUUGUGUAAUGUAUUUUCAAUUAGGUCCAUUUCGUGGUCCAUGUAGAGCACUCAAGUAUAAAAAGUUGUGAAGCAUUCAACCCGGAAAGCUCAAGGUUAAUAUUCCUCCAGCAUUAGGAGCUGUUGUGGGUGAGCGUACAAAUCAAUUUGUUGCUGAGUGUGCUUAUUGGGUGAAGGAGAUUUGCCCCCUUGAUGUUUCUAAAUGGAGUGAUAUGCCUGAAGGUAUUUUAGAUCGAUUAUAUGCAAGGAUUAAGGUAUAUAAUCUUGAGUUGCAUGAUUCUAUUCUGUUACAUGGUGUUAUGUCAGAUGGUAUUGUUUGACAGGCCAUUUUUAUUCCUUUAUGCUUGUUUUCUACUAGUUUUUUUUUUUUUUUUUGGUAAUUAUUAGACAAACACUUGCUAUUAAAAGGUUCAUAUCACUAAAUUUAAAUAUUCUCGUAGUCAAAGUACGAAUUGGAUGAAGGUGCACACAUUCACAAAGCAAUAAAGAUUCAAUGCUCCACCCUUUAUAGGCAUUGGAGAGAAAGGUUGAAAGCUGACUAUUUUUCAAAUAGAAAAUCUUUAUAAGAGGCAGAGCGUGCUUGCCCACCUUCAAUAAAACUUGACCAAUGGAAGUGGCUUGUUUAUAACUAUUGGAGCUCUCCUAAGCAGAAGGAAAGGAGUGAGAAGAAUCGGGCAAAUGCUUUUGCAAAGAAGAUCAAGUCGGCAUGUGGUGCGAAAUCAACAGCUCGCAUUAUUUAUGAAUUGGAACUUGAGGCACAAGCUUGUGAGUAUGAGAAUGAGGUCACUGAAAUCAAUGGUUCUUGUUCAAAUGUAACCACCUCAUCCCAAGCUAAUGAUGAUCCCAUGUAUUUAAAGUUAUGGGAGAAGUCAAAUAGGUAUAAAAAUGGGAAGCUUGACGAUGAGGCCGAGGAGAAGUUCAAGGAAUUAAGGGAGUUGCAUGAGAAAGAAAUUGGUGAAAAGGGGAUUGAUAAUCUUACUCUUGAAGAAGCUUAUGUGAAGGUUCGUGGACAUCGUUCAGGUUAUGCCCGAGGUUUAGGCAAAGUGCACCCGGUGUCGUCUAAAUAUGGAAAGAUAGGAAGAGCUGAGCUGGAACAAAAUGUUGAAAAACUACAAUAUGAAAAUAAUAUGAUGCGAGCUGAAUUGGAAGCGUCUAAGAAGAAACAAGAAGACCUAGAACAAAAGCUUCGGUUAGUCAUGGAGAAGAUUGGCCUUGAUGCUUAAUAGAGUUUGCAAUUAGGGGAUCAUGUCAAUGUUUUGGGGAUGGAGGACACCUAAAGGCUGGUUGCAAGGAUGAGAAGAUUGCUUGAUAGACAACUUGGUUAAUACUUUUGUAUAUAUUUGCUAUUAAAUAUUAUUAAAUAUAAUACUUUUGUAUAUACAUAUAAUGACAAAAUUAAA